rnacentral:misc_RNA from 1 species
GAUGAAGAACGCUGCGAAAUGCGAUAAGUAAUGUGAAUUGCAGAAUUCAGUGAAUCAUCGAAUCUUUGAACGCACAUUGCGCCCGCCAGUAUUCUGGCGGGCAUGCCUGUCUGAGCGUCAUUUCAACCCUCAUGCCCCUAGGGCGUGGUGUUGGGGAUCGGCCAAAGCCCGCGAGGGACGGCCGGCCCCUAAAUCUAGUGGCGGACCCGUCGUGGCCUCCUCUGCGAAGUAGUGAUAUUCCGCAUCGGAGAGCGAUGAGCCCCUGCCGUUAAACCCCCAACUUUCCAAGGUUGACCUCAGAUCAGGUAGGAAUACCCGCUGAACUUAAGCAUAUCAAUAAGCGGAGGA